GGAGAGGUGGCCGAGGGGCCGAAGGCGGCAGUUUGCUAAACUGUUUUGCGCCCAAAAGGUGCAACGAGGGUUCGAAUCCCUCCCUCUCCG
rnacentral:tRNA from 1 species